rnacentral:tRNA from 2 species
UGGGCCAUAGCCAAGCGGUAAGGCAUCGGUUUUUGAUAUCGACAUCCCUGGUUCGAAUCCAGGUGGCCCAGCCA